UUCGUUGGAUUUCCUACAAGUUGGUAUGUAUUGAACUUUUAAAAUUUUAGAUCAGCAAACUCUAAGAUCCUAGAAUGGAAGCUGUUCCUCACUUCUCCAUGCGCACCCUCCCAGGUCAGCGAGAUGGUGAAGAAGCUGCACGCGGCAACACCACCAACGUUCGGAGUGGACCUCAUCAAUGAGCUUGUGGAGAACUUUGGCAGAUGUCCCAAGUGGUCUGGUCGGCAAGCCUUUGUCUUUGUCUGCCAGACUGUCAUUGAGGAUGACUGCCUUCCCAUGGACCAGUUUGCUGUGCAUCUGAUGCCGCACCUGCUAACCUUAGCAAACGACAGGGUUCCUAAUGUGCGAGU
rnacentral:sRNA from 1 species